GACGAACGCUGGCGGCGUGCUUAACACAUGCAAGUCGAACGGAGUGGCGAACGGGUGAGUAUAACGUGGGUGACCUGCCCUGCACUUCGGUAUAAGCCUGGGAAACUGGGUCUAAUACCGGAUAGUGUGGGAUGGGCCCGCGGCAUAUAAGCUUGUUGGUGGGGUAGUGGCCUACCAAGGCGGCGACGGGUAGCCGGCCUGAGAGGGUGGACGGCCACAUUGGGACUGAGACACGGCCCAGACUCCUACGGGAGGCAGCAGUGGGGAAGAUUGCGCAAUGGGCGGAAGCCUGAUGCAGCGACGCCGCGUGGGGGAUGACGGCCUUCGGGUUGGAAACUCCUUUCACCAUCGACGCGGUAGAUGGAGAAGAAGCACCGGCUAACUACGUGCCAGCAGCCGCGGUAAUAC
rnacentral:rRNA from 1 species